AAAACGGGCAGCUCCGGGGUGAGUCAAAGUCACCAUGCACUUGCUGGAUCUGUUUUGAUGCCGAAAUGACGUGGACCCUGGCACUAGGCGGAUCGAAAGCAAAGGAAAUACGCCUGCUUUAUGUUGUUAUGACACAUAUAUUUCCCCCCAAAUGACAUUAAAGAGUACCAGAGGCUCAAACAUUGUUCUGUUUAUCUGUUCCCCGGGUAGGGCUCUUACUCUUAGAGACAGCCUCAACACUGCAGAGCGUGGCCCUGUCAGGAAAAUUCUGCCUUUGGCACGAGGAGCAUUAGCAAUUGUGACACGGGAAGCCAGCCCAGGGGGUCAGGGCAUGAGUGGCCAUUGCCCACUGCCACCUGCCAGAGACACGCAAAGCGCUGAGCCGCUGGAGGAGACGCCGCUGCUGCGCGCUCAGGUUCACAGGUGACCCACAGCUACCCUAAGGAAGGACACGGCUACCCUAAAACACACCUAGGAUAAGAGAUUUUUUGCUGCUUUUCGACAUCCAGAUUUUCCCCCUCCCCAAGAAAGGGUUGGGACAAUUCCUGGAACUGGGAAAAAAAAAUGGGAAUGUAAAUCUUUUCUGCUUUUAAAAACACGUCUUACAGUGAGUGAGGAACGCUCAGCCAGCCCAGGGCUCUCUGAUUUCCAGGAACAAACUAUAAAAGCCAUUUAGGUUGUCCGGAAAUAACUUUGACAUUUCCCUUUCAUAUUUCCAAGGCAAAUUCAAAGGACACGUUUUUCCUCUGCUGCUCUGUGGCUGGACUACUGCGAAUACGUGCAUUUUCAUGUAAAUACAACAGAGCACUUGGGGCUGCAGGAUGUUGGCGAGCUCACCUCGAUCAGGAGAAAAUCCCUCGCCCAGGUUUCAGCAGAAAUCUGCAGACACGGCCAGCAGAAUCACGCUGCCAGGCUCAGCGGGAUAUGCACUUGCAGACAGCGUGAGUCACUUGCCCUGGAGCCGUAGGAGCAGAGAACAUCUGAAGAUCUAGAUCAGAUUGGUGAAUCAGCAGCAUCUGAAACAGUUUAAGAGGUUAAGCCUAUUUAUAGGCAAAUGAGGGUAAUUUUCAUCGCUGAAGGGAUUGGAUUUUUCUUCUUAAUAAAUUCAUAAUUAACCAUAGGGAGGAGAAUACUGAGAUCUGUACUAGUUAACUGCUCACAGAGCGGAGGAGGUUUGCCCAAGACAGGGAUGGAGACAAAGGAACCAGAAACUCGAGAGCAUUAUUCUCACUUUCUUGCUUUUUAUCCACCCACGGGAUUAGAUUAUGCUUUCAGGACAGUACAAAGCAUCCCUUUGGAGCCAAACAUUAAUCCCAGUGUCUGGUACACCAGUGGGACUCCCCUGACAUCCAUUUCUUAAUCUAUUUUAUAUUUUACUCCUAUUAUCACUACUAGUGGAUGUGAGAUUUAAUUUGUCAGUGUACAGCAGCAGAGUUAGGUGGCAUCAUCAGUCAAGUGAGAAGGAAUGGGACUUGCUGAGUGAUCAUGGACAAAAUACGUUACUUCUUUCGUGUCUCUGUUGCCAUGAGAUUAAAAUAAGGAUGCUACCAACCCCACAGAGGCAUUGCGAAGGAAUCCAUAGAGCCUGAAAAAUGCCAUCUCUUGUAAACUGCCAAAGGCAUCUGCUGUACAGUCCCACUGCAGCUAUUUGCUGUUUAGGAAGUAAUCACACCUACAGAAAGAGUGCUGUGCUCUUACACGAGCAUAAUGAUGAACUAAAACGAACUGAUAAUCUGCUGGAUAAAGGCAAAGAGUCAUAAAAUGAAUAGAGGUCUGAUUUUGAGUGAGACUGUCAAAAAUAAAAAAAUAAAUAAAACAUUUAAUGCUCCUUUAACGACCACCAAUGUUAAAAAAAAAGCUUUUCUAAAUAGCAGAGCUGAAGUUAGACCCCACCUCCUUUCAUUACAAUGCAUUUUAGUACAGUGCUUUUCACAGAAAUCAGGAAUGGAUUGAGCAUGGAGUUACAGACCCUCCAGGAGAAGAACGGGCUGUAUGGAAAGGACACGAACACGUGCAGCAUCUGCAGGGGGACCAUGCCUCGGCAGUAGGAACAGUGUUACUUAAGCAGGGGCUCUCCUGCCUGGAGGCAGUCUCUCAAGGAAACCAAAAGUCUCCCACCAGGUACCUGGAUAUGAAAACCUUCCCUUUGAGGUCAUCUGAAACCUUUUUUAAAAAUACAGAGUAACUUGUAUGGAGCACUCCAUAAACCUGUUUCAUUUCCAAGUCUGCAAUUGCAGGUCAUGCCAAAACACCAUAUUUCCAUAGCAUACACUACUACAUCCACGUACACAGGACCAGAUCUUUGCUUUUUUCUUGAAAAAAAAAAAAAAAAUCAGUUCUUUCAAUGUUUUGCACCAGCCUUCCUGAGACGCCUUCCUAUAACCUCCCCUCAGCAUCUGUUUUAUUUUAAAAGGAUAAAAA